GAACUACCAAGUAGUGUGUGGUUGCAAGUUGGUACUUUAUUUUGAUACCUUGAGUCGUAUCAACCGGUUGUGACACUUUUUUUCUGGUACAAUUAUAAAUUGUUCUUUCAGAACUGAGAAAUUUAAUGUCUGAAAAUUCAAUGGUUAUUUGAUUGUAAAAGUUGGCAUCUUGGUUCCUUUUCCAAUCAAAUAGAUUAAGCCACCAUAUUAUUUAGCCAACUAAUGGUAUAUGGAUAAUAUUUUGAACAGGCUGGAGAGUUACGUGAUAGAGAAAUGGACCUUAAGGCUCAGAUAUCUGCUCUUGUCGAUAAAGGCAAAGAGAUGAGCAAGGCAGAGACUGAAGCAGGGGAUGUUGGUCCUGUUGUGACUGAAGUGGACAUUCAACACAUUGUCUCAGCUUGGACGGGCAUUCCGGUUGAAAAAGUCUCGACUGAUGAAUCUGAUCGCCUCCUCAAGAUGGAAGAGACCCUUCACAAGAGAGUUAUUGGUCAGGACGAAGCUGUCAAAGCUAUUAGUCGUGCUAUCCGGCGUGCACGUGUUGGACUCAAAAACCCCAAUCGACCAAUUGCUAGUUUCAUCUUUUCUGGUCCAACUGGUGUCGGGAAGUCUGAACUGGCCAAAGCACUGGCUGCCUAUUACUUUGGCUCAGAGGAGGCCAUGAUCAGGCUUGAUAUGAGUGAGUUCAUGGAAAGACACACUGUUUCCAAGCUCAUUGGUUCACCACCUGGUUAUGUUGGUUACACUGAGGGUGGUCAGCUGACUGAGGCUGUUCGCCGUCGUCCUUAUACUGUUGUACUCUUUGAUGAGAUUGAAAAGGCUCAUCCUGAUGUCUUCAACAUGAUGCUUCAAAUUCUCGAGGAUGGAAGAUUGACAGACAGCAAGGGAAGAACUGUAGACUUCAAGAAUACUCUUCUAAUAAUGACAUCAAAUGUUGGAAGCAGUGUAAUUGAGAAGGGAGGACGCCGCAUUGGUUUUGAUCUUGAUUAUGAUGAGAAAGACAGCAGUUACAACAGGAUUAAGAGUCUGGUAACUGAGGAAUUGAAGCAGUACUUCAGGCCGGAGUUCUUGAAUAGAUUGGAUGAGAUGAUUGUUUUCCGACAACUCACCAAGCUGGAGGUUAAAGAGAUUGCUGAUAUAAUGCUGAAGGAGGUGUUUGAUAGACUCAAGACAAAAGAUAUUGAGCUUCAAGUGACAGAGAGAUUUAGGGAGAGGGUGGUUGAGGAAGGUUAUAACCCAAGCUAUGGAGCAAGGCCAUUGAGAAGAGCCAUUAUGAGACUUUUGGAAGACAGCAUGGCUGAGAAGAUGCUUGCAAGAGAGAUCAAAGAGGGUGAUUCGGUCAUUGUUGAUGUCGAUUCUGAUGGGAACGUGACUGUGCUCAACGGCAGCAGCGGUGCUCCAGAAUCAUUGGCAGAUCCACUACCUGUUGUGUAAACUGAUCAUCUAUUUUGAGAUGUUGUUUGUACUUCCAUUUUGAUUUCAACUGGCUAGAUACUCAGUCUGUUUUCUUGGAAGGACUACUUGGCAGUAGAUUUGGAAGCUGUUGAUUAAAUCGGU
rnacentral:lncRNA from 1 species